GCCUGGGUGGCUCAGUCGGUUAAGCAUCUGACUUCGGCUCAGGUCAUGAUCUCACGGUCUGUGAGUUUGAGCCCCGCAUCAGGCU
rnacentral:tRNA from 1 species